rnacentral:tRNA from 1 species
GCCUGGCCAGCUCAGUUGGUAGAGCAUGCGACUGUUGAUCUCGAGGUUGUGAGUUCAAGCCCCACGGUAGGCA